rnacentral:rRNA from 1 species
UACGAAGGGUGCAAGCGUUACUCGGAAUUACUGGGCGUAAAGCGUGCGUAGGCGGUUUGUUAAGUCUGUUGUGAAAGCCCCGGGCUCAACCUGGGAAUGGCAUUUGGGACUGCAAGGCUUGAGUGCGGCAGAGGAGACUGGAAUUCCUGGUGUAGCAGUGAAAUGCGUAGAUAUCAGGAGGAAUACCGAUGGCGAAGGCAGGUCUCUGGGCUGACACUGACGCUCAUGCACGAAAGCGUGGGGAGCAAACAGG